CCAACUGUGUGAAUUAAUGUGAACUGCAUACUGCUUUGAACAUCGACAUCUUGAACGCACAUUGCGGCCACGGGUUUUCCUGUGGCCACGCCUGUCCGAGGGUCGG
rnacentral:rRNA from 1 species